rnacentral:rRNA from 1 species
CCUGCAGGAAGAGAAAGAAAAUUCGAUUCCCUGAGUAGCGGCGAGCGAAACGGGAAGAGCCCAAACCAACAAGCUUGCUUGUUGGGGUUGUAGGACUCCGAUAUGGUAGUCUGUUAGUAUAGUUGAAGGAUUUGGAAAAUUCCGCUAAAGAGGGUGAAAGCCCCGUAGACGAAAUGCUAACAACACCUAGGAGGAUCCUGAGUACGGCGGAACACGAGAAAUUCCGUCGGAAUCCGCGGGGACCAUCCCGCAAGGCUAAAUACUCCCUAGUGACCGAUAGUGAACCAGUACCGUGAGGGAAAGGUGAAAAGCACCCCGGAAGGGGAGUGAAAUAGAUCCUGAAACCGUGUGCCUACAACAAGUCAAAGCUCGUUAAUGAGUGAUGGCGUGCCUUUUGUAGAAUGAACCGGCGAGUUACGAUUGCAUGCGAGGUUAAGUCGAAGAGACGGAGCCGCAGCGAAAGCGAGUCUGAAUAGGGCGAAUGAGUAUGUAGUCGUAGACCCGAAACCAUGUGAUCUACCCAUGUCCAGGUUGAAGGUGCGGUAAAACGCACUGGAGGACCGAACCCACGUACGUUGAAAAGUGCGGGGAUGAGGUGUGGGUAGCGGAGAAAUUCCAAACGAACUUGGAGAUAGCUGGUUCUCUCCGAAAUAGCUUUAGGGCUAGCCUCGGAAUUGAGAAUGAUGGAGGUAGAGCACUGUUUGGACUAGGGGCCCAUCUCGGGUUACCGAAUUCAGAUAAACUCCGAAUGCCAUUCAUUCAUAUCCGGGAGUCAGACUGUGAGUGAUAAGAUCCAUAGUCGAAAGGGAAACAGCCCAGACCACCAGCUAAGGUCCCCAAAUAACUAUUAAGUGGAAAAGGAUGUGGGGUUGCACAGACAACUAGGAUGUUGGCUUAGAAGCAGCCACCAUUUAAAGAGUGCGUAAUAGCUCACUAGUCGAGUGACCCUGCGCCGAAAAUGUACCGGGGCUAAAUAGUUUACCGAAGCUGUGGAGUGCACCAUCAGGUGCAUUGGUAGGAGAGCGUUCUAAGGGCGUUGAAGGCAGAUCGUGAGGACUGCUGGAGCGCUUAGAAGUGAGAAUGCCGGUAUGAGUAGCGAAAGACAGGUGAGAAUCCUGUCCACCGAAUGACUAAGGUUUCCUGGGGAAGGCUCGUCCGCCCAGGGUUAGUCGGGACCUAAGCCGAGGCCGACAGGCGUAGGCGAUGGACAACAGGUUGAUAUUCCUGUACCCGUUGUUUUUGUUUGAGCAAUGGAGGGACGCAGGAGGCUAAGAAGUGCAGACUGAUGGAUAUGUCUGUUCAAGCAGUAAGUCUUGGUAGGAGUCAAAUGCUUCUACCUAUACGGACAAGCUGUGAUGAGGAGGGAAAUAAUAGUACCGAAGCUUCUGAUGUCACACUGCCAAGAAAAGCUUCUAGUGAGAAAACAACGGCCCGUACCGCAAACCGACACAGGUAGUCGAGGAGAGAAUCCUAAGGUGAGCGAGAGAACUCUCGUUAAGGAACUCGGCAAAAUGACCCCGUAACUUCGGGAGAAGGGGUGCUGCUCUAACGAGCAGCCGCAGUGAAUAGGCCCAAGCGACUGUUUAUCAAAAACACAGGUCUCUGCAAAAUCGAAAGAUGACGUAUAGGGGCUGACGCCUGCCCGGUGCUGGAAGGUUAAGAGGAGUGCUUAGCGUAAGCGAAGGUA